UAGGCAGCCAUUCUGUUCCUAAAGAAACUCUGCAUGACGUUGUGGUUCAGAAAGCCGUGGCAUCUUCACCACCUGUUCAAGCCGAAGCACCCUCUACAUCUCAUCCUGUCCAUCAUGAUCUCUUGAGUCUGUCGCCUUUGCAGGAACCUUCAAUUUCCUCUACCCCUCCGUCAAUAGAUUUAUUUGCUGGCUUUGACCAACAACUGCCACCUACAACUAGUGUUCAGCAAAGUCAACCAGCCGAACCAUCAAUUUCCUCUACCCCUCAGUCAAUAGAUUUAUUUGCUGGCUUUGACCAACAACUGCCACCUACGACUAGUGUUCAGCAAAGUCAACAGGCAGCCCCAUUGGUUGCUGACGAAGGAUGGGCUUUCUUCCUCGAUACACCUCAACACGUAUCUCCGACUUCCAUUUCAAACGUGCAAGCUCAGGUAGCCACCGCAAUAGCUGCAUUCCCU
rnacentral:lncRNA from 1 species